rnacentral:rRNA from 1 species
UACGAGGGGGGCAAAUGUUGUUCGGAAUCACUGGGCGUAAAGGGAGCGUAGGCGGGUUUCUAAGUCAGGUGUUUAAUCCCGGGGCCCAACCCCGGACAGGCACUUGAAACUGGGAAUCUUGAAUAGUGGAGAGGUCAGUGGAAUUGGAGGUGUAGCGGUGGAAUGCGUAGAGAUCUCCAAGAACACCAGUUGCGAAGUAGGCUGACUGGACACAUAUUGACGCUGAGGCUCGAAAGCAUGGGGAGCAAACAGG